CCCUAUGGGGUGCAGCAGGCGAGAAAACUUUGCAAUGUGCGAAAGCACGACAAGGUUAAUCCGAGUGGUUUCUGCUAAAGGAACCUUUUGUCAGUCCUAGAAACACUGGUGAAUAAGGGGUGGGCAAGUUCUGGUGUCAGCCGCCGCGGUAAAACCAGCACCUCAAGUGGUCAGGAUGAUUAUUGGGCCUAAAGCAUCCGUAGCCUGCUUUGUUAGUUUUCGGUUAAAUCCAUACGCUUAACGUAUGGGCUGCCGGGAAUACUGCAAAGCUAGGGAGUGGGAGAGGUAGACGGUACUCGGUAGGAAGGGGUAAAAUCCUUUGAUCUAUUGAUGACCACCUGUGGCGAAGGCGGUCUACCAGAACACGUCCGACGGUGAGGGAUGAAAGCUGGGGGAGCAAACCGGAUUAGAUACCCGGGUAGUCCCAGCUGUAAACUAUGCAAACUCGGUGAUGCAUUGGCUUGAUGCCAAUGCAGUGCCGCAGGGAAGCCGUUAAGUUUGCCGCCUGGGAAGUACGUACGCAAGUAUGAAACUUAAAGGAAUUGGCGGGGGAGCACCACAAGGGUGAAGCCUGCGGUUCAAUUGGAGUCAACGCCAGAAAUCUUACCCGGAGAGACAGCAGAUGAAGUCAGCUGAGACUUUACCAGACAGCUGAGAGUGUGCAUG
rnacentral:rRNA from 1 species